CCCUUUGGGGUGUGACUGCGUACCUUUUGUAUAAUGGGUCAGCGACUUAUAUUCUGUAGCAAGGUUAACCGAAUAGGGGAGCCGGAGGGAAACCGAGUCUUAAUUGGGCGUUAAGUUGCAGGGUAUAGACCCGAAACCCGGUGAUCUAGCCAUGGGCAGGUUGAAGGUUGGGUAACACUAACUGGAGGACCGAACCGACUAAUGUUGAAAAAUUAGCGGAUGACCUGUGGCUGGGGGUGAAAGGCCAAUCAAACCGGGAGAUAGCUGGUUCUCCCCGAAAGCUAUUUAGGUAGCGCCUCGUGAAUUCAUCUCCGGGGGUAGAGCACUGUUUCGGCUAGGGGGUCAUCCCGACUUACCAACCCGAUGCAAACUGCGAAUACCGGAGAAUGUUAUCACGGGAGACACACGGCGGGUGCUAACGUCCGUCGUGAAGAGGGAAACAACCCAGACCGCCAGCUAAGGUCCCAAAGUCAUGGUUAAGUGGGAAACGAUGUGGGAAGGCCCAGACAGCCAGGAUGUUGGCUUAGAAGCAGCCAUCAUUUAAAGAAAGCGUAAUAGCUCACUGGUCGAGUCGGCCUGCGCGGAAGAUGUAACGGGGCUAAACCAUGCACCGAAGCUGCGGCAGCGACACUCAGGUGUUGUUGGGUAGGGGAGCGUUCUGUAAGCCUGCGAAGGUGGCCUGUGAGGGUUGCUGGAGGUAUCAGAAGUGCGAAUGCUGACAUAAGUAACGAUAAAGCGGGUGAAAAGCCCGCUCGCCGGAAGACCAAGGGUUCCUGUCCAACGUUAAUCGGGGCAGGGUGAGUCGACCCCUAAGGCGAGGCCGAAAGGCGUAGUCGAUGGGAAACGGGUUAAUAUUCCCGUACUUGGUGUUACUGCGAAGGGGGGACGGAGAAGGCUAUGUUGGCCGGGCGACGGUUGUCCCGGUUUAAGCGUGUAGGUGUGUGUUCCAGGUAAAUCCGGUUCACUUUAACACUGAGGCGUGACGACGAGGCACUACGGUGCUGAAGCAACAAAUGCCCUGCUUCCAGGAAAAGCCUCUAAGCAUCAGGUAACAUCAAAUCGUACCCCAAACCGACACAGGUGGUCAGGUAGAGAAUACCAAGGCGCUUGAGAGAACUCGGGUGAAGGAACUAGGCAAAAUGGUGCCGUAACUUCGGGAGAAGGCACGCUGACACGUAGGUGAAGUGAUUUACUCAUGGAGCUGAAGUCAGUCGAAGAUACCAGCUGGCUGCAACUGUUUAUUAAAAACACAGCACUGUGCAAACACGAAAGUGGACGUAUACGGUGUGACGCCUGCCCGGUGCCGGAAGGUUAAUUGAUGGGGUCAGCGCAAGCGAAGCUCCUGAUCGAAGCCCCGGUAAACGGCGGCCGUAACUAUAACGGUCCUAAGGUAGCGAAAUUCCUUGUCGGGUAAGUUCCGACCUGCACGAAUGGCGUAAUGAUGGCCAGGCUGUCUCCACCCGAGACUCAGUGAAAUUGAACUCGCUGUGAAGAUGCAGUGUACCCGCGGCAAGACGGAAAGACCCCGUGAACCUUUACUAUAGCUUGACACUGAACAUUGAGCCUUGAUGUGUAGGAUAGGUGGGAGGCUUUGAAGUGUGGACGCCAGUCUGCAUGGAGCCGACCUUGAAAUACCACCCUUUAAUGUUUGAUGUUCUAACGUGGACCCGUAAUCCGGGUUGCGGACAGUGUCUGGUGGGUAGUUUGACUGGGGCGGUCUCCUCCUAAAGAGUAACGGAGGAGCACGAAGGUUGGCUAAUCCUGGUCGGACAUCAGGAGGUUAGUGCAAUGGCAUAAGCCAGCUUGACUGCGAGCGUGACGGCGCGAGCAGGUGCGAAAGCAGGUCAUAGUGAUCCGGUGGUUCUGAAUGGAAGGGCCAUCGCUCAACGGAUAAAAGGUACUCCGGGGAUAACAGGCUGAUACCGCCCAAGAGUUCAUAUCGACGGCGGUGUUUGGCACCUCGAUGUCGGCUCAUCACAUCCUGGGGCUGAAGUAGGUCCCAAGGGUAUGGCUGUUCGCCAUUUAAAGUGGUACGCGAGCUGGGUUUAGAACGUCGUGAGACAGUUCGGUCCCUAUCUGCCGUGGGCGCUGGAGAACUGAGGGGGGCUGCUCCUAGUACGAGAGGACCGGAGUGGACGCAUCACUGGUGUUCGGGUUGUCAUGCCAAUGGCACUGCCCGGUAGCUAAAUGCGGAAGAGAUAAGUGCUGAAAGCAUCUAAGCACGAAACUUGCCCCGAGAUGAGUUCUCCCUGAGACUUAGAGUCUCCUGAAGGAACGUUGAAGACGACGACGUUGAUAGGCCGGGUGUGUAAGCGCAGCGAUGCGUUGAGCUAACCGGUACUAAUGAACCGUGAGGCUUAACCUUACA
rnacentral:rRNA from 1 species